rnacentral:rRNA from 1 species
UGGGGAAUAUUGGACAAUGGGCGAAAGCCUGAUCCAGCCAUGCCGCGUGUGUGAAGAAGGCCUUUUGGUUGUAAAGCACUUUAAGCGAGGAGGAGGCUACUUGGAUUAAUACUCUAGGAUAGUGGACGUUACUCGCAGAAUAAGCACCGGCUAACUCUGUGCCAGCAGCCGCGGUAAUACAGAGGGUGCGAGCGUUAAUCGGAUUUACUGGGCGUAAAGCGUGCGUAGGCGGCUUCUUAAGUCGGAUGUGAAAUCCCUGAGCUUAACUUAGGAAUUGCAUUCGAUACUGGGAAGCUAGAGUAUGGGAGAGGAUGGUAGAAUUCCAGGUGUAGCGGUGAAAUGCGUAGAGAUCUGGAGGAAUACCGAUGGCGGAGGCAGCCAUCUGGCCUAAUACUGACGCUGAGGUACGAAAGCAUGGGGAGCAAACAGG